rnacentral:tRNA from 1 species
GUCCCCAUCGUCUAGCGGUCUAGGAUCUCAGCUUCUCAUGCUGGUGGCACGGGUUCAAAUCCCGUUGGGGAUA